rnacentral:rRNA from 1 species
AGUGAACGCUGGCGGUAGGCCUAACACAUGCAAGUCGAGCGGCAGCACAGUAAGAGCUUGCUCUUACGGGUGGCGAGUGGCGGACGGGUGAGGAAUACAUCGGAAUCUACUUUUUCGUGGGGGAUAACGUAGGGAAACUUACGCUAACACCGCAUACGACCUACGGGUGAAAGCAGGGGAUCUUCGGACCUUGCGCGAUUGAAUGAGCCGAUGUCGGAUUAGCUAGUUGGCGGGGUAAAGGCCCACCAAGGCGACGAUCCGUAGCUGGUCUGAGAGGAUGAUCAGCCACACUGGAACUGAGACACGGUCCAGACUCCUACGGGAGGCAGCAGUGGGGAAUAUUGGACAAUGGGCGCAAGCCUGAUCCAGCCAUACCGCGUGGGUGAAGAAGGCCUUCGGGUUGUAAAGCCCUUUUGUUGGGAAAGAAAAGCAGCAGGUUAAUACCCCGCUGUUCUGACGGUACCCAAAGAAUAAGCACCGGCUAACUUCGUG